rnacentral:rRNA from 1 species
UACGUAGGGGGCUAGCGUUGUCCGGAAUCAUUGGGCGUAAAGCGCGUGUAGGCGGUCCGGUAAGUCCGCUGUGAAAGUCGGGGGCUCAACCCUCGGAUGCCGGUGGAUACUGUCGGGCUUGAGUACGGAAGAGGCGAGUGGAAUUCCUGGUGUAGCGGUGAAAUGCGCAGAUAUCAGGAAGAACACCCGUGGCUAAGGCGGCUCUCUAGUACGGUACGGACGCUGAGACGCGAAAGCGUGGGGAGCAAACAGG